AUUAUAGGUUAAAUUAGAAGU
rnacentral:snRNA from 1 species